rnacentral:rRNA from 1 species
GGCUCUCUGCUUAUAUAAAUAUAGGGAGUCGAGCCUGCCCAGUGAAUUUUUAAACGGCCGCGGUACUCUGACCGUGCAAAGGUAGCAUAAUCAUUUGCCUUAUAAUUGAAGGCUAGUAUGAAUGGUUUGACGAGAACAAUACUGUCUCCUUUUUAUUUUCAAGAACUUAACUUUUAGGUGAAGAGGCCUAAAUUUUAUUGAAGGACAAGAAGACCCUAUCGAGCUUAAAAGACAUUAUAGGAGUUUAUAUAUUUUUAAAUAAAUUUUCUAUUAAGCUUUUUAGUUGGGGCGACUAAGGAACAAAAAAAGCUUCUUGCUGAUAAUAAGCAGUCAUGUUUAGAUCCGAUAAUAAUCGAUCAAAGAAAUUAGUUACCGUAGGGAUAACAGCAUAAUCUCUCUUGAGAGACCUAAUCGAAAGAGGGGGUUGUGACCUCGAUGUUGGACUAGAAUAUCCUAAAGAUGCAGAAGUCUUUGAGGGUCGGUCUGUUCGACCGUUAAAAUUCU